rnacentral:rRNA from 1 species
UACGGAGGAGGCAAGCGUUAUCCGGAAUUAUUGGGCGUAAAGCGUCCGCAGGUGGCUAUUCAAGUCUGCGGUCAAAGCCUGGGGCUUAACCCUGGAAAGGCCGUGGAAACUGAAGAGCUAGAGUGCAGUAGGGGUAGAGGGAAUUCCCGGUGUAGCGGUGAAAUGCGUAGAGCUCGGGAAGAACAGCGGUGGCGAAAGCGCUCUGCUGGACUGCAACUGACACUCAGGGACGAAAGCUAGGGGAGCGAAUGGG